rnacentral:sRNA from 1 species
CCGUUUCAAUUUGUUGUGGGCAAAUAAAAUGAAUGUGCGCAUCAAUACCACCUGCUGUCACAAUCAUCCCUUCCGCAGCAAUCACUUCUGUGCCCGCACCAAUUACAAUAUUGACACCAUCCAUUAAUAAAGGAUUUCCCGACUUACCAAUUGCAGAAAUGAGCCCCUCUUUGAUUCCAAUAUCUGCUUUAUAAAUACCUGUAUAAUCCACAAUCAUUGCAUUUGUUAAGACAAGAUCUACCGUUUUGUCAUCUGUAGCUAACGGAUGUUGCCCCAUUCCAUCACGA